GUCACAGUCACACACAGUCACAGCCUCACACACAGUCACAGCCAAGCACACAGCCUCACACACACACACAGGCAGUCACAGUCACACACACACACAGUCACACACACACAGAUGUAGUCACAGGCCUCGGCCAAUACUACUACCACAGGCAGCCUCACAGUCACACACACACAGGUGGCAGUCACAGUCACACACACACAGUCACACACACACAGACAGUCACACACACAGACAGUCACACACAGUCACACACACACACAGUCACACACACACACAGGUAGUCACAGUCAUACACACAGACAGUCACACACACAGUCACACACACACACAGACAGUCACACACACACACAGGCAGUCACAGUCACACACACAUAGACAGUCACACACACACAGUCACACACACAAACAGACAGUCACACACACACACACACACAGUCACACAGACAGUCACACACUCACAGACAGUCACACACUCACAGACAGUCACACACUGACCUCCUUCUUACCUCCUGCUUGGAGCUCCUGGAGGCUGGUUGUUGGGGAAGCAGGGACUCCUUCCUGCUUCCCAUGCUGCAAUUAGCCGGCCCCGCCGCACAGUAAGCUCCGCCUCAGCCGCACGCUAAGCCCCGCCCC